GGAUUCCCCUAGUACUGCGAGUGAACCGGGAUGAGCUCAAAUUUAAAAUCUGGCGGUUUUGCCGUCCGAGUUGUAAUCUGGAGAAGCGUUUUCCGCGUCGGACCGUGUACAAGUCUCUUGGAAUAGAGCGUCAUAGAGGGUGAGAAUCCCGUCCAUGACACGGACUCCCGAUGCUUUGUGAUACGCUCUCAAAGAGUCGAGUUGUUUGGGAAUGCAGCUCAAAAUGGGUGGUAAAUUCCAUCUAAAGCUAAAUAUUGGCGAGAGACCGAUAGCGAACAAGUACCGUGAGGGAAAGAUGAAAAGCACUUUGGAAAGAGAGUUAAACAGUACGUGAAAUUGUUGAAAGGGAAACGCUUGAAGUCAGUCGCGUCGUACGGAGCUCAGCCUUGCUUCUGCUUGGUGUAUUCUCUGUGUCGAUGGGUCAACAUCAAUUUCGACCGGUGGAAAAGGGCUUAGGGAAUGUAGCGUCGUUUCGGCGACGUGUUAUAGCCCUAAGUCGUAUGCAUCGGUUGGGAUUGAGGACUGCAGCACGCCCUUGUGGCCGGGGGUUCGCCCCACGUUCGUGCUUAGGAUGUUGGCAAAAUGGCUUUAAGCGACCCGUCUUGAAACACGGACCAAGGAGUCUAACAUGCCUGCGAGUGUUCGGGUGGAAAACCCUUGCGCGUAAUGAAAGUGAAAGUUGGGAUCCUUCGUAAGGGGGUGCACCGACGCCCGGCCCUGACGUUCUCUGACGGUGCUGCGGUAGAGCAUGUAUGUUGGGACCCGAAAGAUGGUGAACUAUGCCUGAAUAGGGUGAAGCCAGAGGAAACUCUGGUGGAGGCUCGUAGCGAUUCUGACGUGCAAAUCGAUCGUCAAAUUUGGG
rnacentral:rRNA from 1 species